UUCCCUACGGGAGGCAGCAGUGAGGAAUAUUGGUCAAUGGCCGAGAGGCUGAACCAGCCAAGUCGCGUGAGGGAAGACGGCCCUACGGGUUGUAAACCUCUUUUGUCGGGGAGCAAAGCGAACCACGUGUGGUUCAUUGAGAGUACCCGAAGAAAAAGCAUCGGCUAACUCCGUGCCAGCAGCCGCGGUAAUACGGAGGAUGCGAGCGUUAUCCGGAUUUAUUUGGUUUAAAGGGUGCGCAGGCGGAGGUUCAAGUCAGCGGUCAAAUUGCGCGGCUCAACCCCGUACUGUCGUUUCAAC
rnacentral:rRNA from 1 species